GUAACAACAACCACCAUGAGAAUAGUCUGAUCCUUUUACAGGCACUUCACUGAGCUGCCUAUGCACCCUGCUCUUUCUAUCUCCAGUUUCCAACCAGCCUUUGCUGAGGUUAGAGACAAGCAGACAACUGUGGUAGCCAACUUGGUUCAUUAGUGCAUUUUUUAACAAUGUUAAUUGAUUUUACUUCCCUGUCCCCCUUCUUAUCCCAACCCUUCUCAUCUCCAUGGAUCAGGAGGAAGGAGAGACACCCAAGAACUGAGUGCAUUAUCCUUCUGAAGGCUAGGUUCACGGGAACAACAUAAGCCUAACCAAAGGCUUACACGUUAGUUGUGAGUUUUCAGAUAUGCUGAGGAACCUUAUGUCAUCACAAGGGAAUGUUAAUGAUCCAUUUGGAAGAUGUUACAAACAGACCAAUUCUGCACACACUUCACAGAGGCUGAUGUGGUGAGGGCUAGGGACCUCAAGAAUCAUGGACUAGACGAUGAGUCUCACCAACUGAAUCGAUGCCCUAUGGCCUCCCAAGAUAGAUAUGGCAGCAGACUUCUUCAUAAGAGGGGAAGAGAGUCAGAGGUGAUGAAUGACAUCUGAGAGCCCUGGAAGGAUAAGUUGGAUUAUUUUAUUUGUUCUGGGGUCAUAUAGCAUAUUACAUACAUUUAUGUAGCGGUACUGCCAGGGUGAUUUUAAACACUGCUACUGGUUUGGGGUUUUUUCUCUUGCAGAGUCUCAGCCUUCGGGAAAUGAUGCCUCCGCAGCUAGCGAAGGCUGAUGUCCGCACAGGGCCAUGCAGAGUAAGGGCUUCUCUUCACUACCGGGGUAAGUCAACCUAAGUUACUCUACUCCAGCUACGUUAUUCAUGUAGCUGGAGUCAACGUAGCUUAGGUUGACUUACCACGGUGUCUUCAUUGCGCUGCGUCGAUGAGAGACACUCUCCGUUCGAAUUCCUUUACUCUUCUCGGAGAGGUGGAGUACCGGGGUGCACUCUGCCAUUGAUUUAGCGGGUCUUCACUAGACCCGCUAAAUCGACCCCUGCUGCACCUAUUCCAGCAGCAUCGAUCUCUCCAAGUGAAGACCAGCCCUAAGAAGAAAAUUUCAGAUUAUUUGAGAACUGUAAAAAUGUUAACAGUUUAAACAUGUAAAACUGUGUAAUAACCUCACACUUUCCUAUUUGUUCCUUUGGCAGGCAUUGGAGAAGACCAGCCUGGUUUUCUGUGCUGAAGCAAUGGUGGGGGUAUUAUUAUUUGGUUACGGUGAAAGAGUGUAUGGAGAAAAAGGGUACUAUACCUUUAAGGGACAGGCUAUUGGGGAUGAGUUAUAUAAACAGGAACAGAAAACAGAGCAAGGGAAAGAGAGAAGCAGAAGUCAGGCUGGCUGCAGUUGCUCUCUCAGACACCAGGAGACAAGCCUAAAUUGUCUCAAAGACUUGGGUGUGAACUGUAAGUUUGGAAGGCUUGAACCCUGGGCGUGAUGAACUAUCGUAAUGAUUCUUGGCCUGAAACCUUAUUAAAAGGGGACAUGGCAUCUGGUUAUUCUGCGUUGUCUUCUCCUUGCCUUGGGCUGUUAAAAUGGAAUCUACAGCUGCUCCACUUAGAGAAAUUAAGGUGGGGUCGAUGUGCAGUGCCACAUUGGGCCACAAGGGGGUGCUCAGAAACUGCCUGCACCUUUACAAAGAUGUGCUAGGCACUUUCCAAACUUCUUCUUAUUUAAUGUUUUUGGUAUAAAAUUUUAUGAAGGCUCUAUUGCGUUACCAUGUACUAUCUCUGGCAGAGCCAAAACCCAGCUGGAUCACAUUCCUGCUGCUUUUAGAUCUGCUGGGGAAAGGAGAACUGGGCAGAGGCAACACCAGGCUCUUCCUAUUCUCAGGCAAAUCUGAGGAAGAGGGAGAUCCUGCAGGGCCAGUGCUAGACAUUUUUAACCAUCUUGCCUAAACCACAUAGAUAAUUCCCUUCGCACUAUUUAACCAUGGCUUUAAAAAUCUGACAUGGUGGCCAGCCUGGCAUUCCAAAGCCACUCUGCAAAAUCCCUUGGCUGUAAAGGGACUUGAGAAGCUUUCUUUGAAGGCCUAAUUUUCAGCCUGCAUGCAUGCACUGUAUGCAUAGUGCUUCUGAAAACUGACACCAAUCGCUGAGUGCAGAAAAAUGCAUAUCUAUUGUUACUACUGUGUACAUGCAACAGUUUCUUUGAAAAUCGGGCCCACUGCAGGCAACAUAGUGUUAUGAGCUGGAUGAAAUGUUGUUAUGGGUUGAGUUAAAACCUCAUGGAGAUUUAAAGGUGUGAGCUCACCCUUGAAUUAACAUAACUGUAACCAUAAACUCCAACCUAGGAUGU